rnacentral:rRNA from 1 species
UGGGGAAUAUUGCACAAUGGGCGAAAGCCUGAUGCAGCGCCGCCGCGUGAGGGAUGACGGCCUUCGGGUUGUAAACCUCUUUCAGCAGGGACGAAGCGCAAGUGACGGUACCUGCAGAAGAAGCACCGGCUAACUACGUCCCAGCAGCCGCGGUAAUACGUAGGGUGCAAGCGUUGUCCGGAAUUACUGGGCGUAAAGAGUUCGUAGGCGGUUUGUCGCGUCGUUUGUGAAAACCAGCAGCUCAACUGCUGGCUUGCAGGCGAUACGGGCGGACUUGAGUACUGCAGGGGAGGCUGGAAUUCCUGGUGUAGCGGUGAAAUGCGCAGAUAUCAGGAGGAACACCGGUGGCGAAGGCGGGUAUCUGGGCAGUUACUGACGCUGAGGAACGAAAGCGUGGGUAGCGAACAGG